rnacentral:lncRNA from 1 species
UACUUUAUUAUGAGUAGGUUUUCCGUACUUAAUCAAAUGUUCCAUUUAGUAUAGCUGUAUUUUCAUUCUCUCUUACCAGGGUUAAUUCAAGUUUCAAUUGAAAAAUUGGAUCUAGGUGAUUGAGUUCAUUCACUUUUGAGCUUCUUAUAAGUGGAUUUGAUUUUAUAGAUUUGCUGAUCCUGAAAGUUUUCGUGCGGUGUGG